rnacentral:rRNA from 1 species
UACAGAGGGUGCGAGCGUUAAUCGGAAUUACUGGGCGUAAAGCGCACGUAGGCGGCUUGGUAUGUCGGGUGUGAAAUCCCCGGGCUCAACCUGGGAACUGCAUCCGAAACUGCCUUGCUCGAGUAUAGGAGAGGGAAGUGGAAUUUCCGGUGUAGCGGUGAAAUGCGUAGAUAUCGUAAGGAAGACCAGUGGCGAAGGCGAGUCUCUGGACAGCAACUGACGCUGAGGCACGAAGGCCAGGGGAGCAAACGGG